rnacentral:rRNA from 1 species
AUUGAACGCUGGCGGCAUGCCUUACACAUGCAAGUCGAACGGCAGCACGGGAGCAAUCCUGGUGGCGAGCGGCGAACGGGUGAGUAAUAUAUCGGAACGUGCCCGGUCGUGGGGGAUAACGUAGCGAAAGCUACGCUAAUACCGCAUACGAUCUACGGAUGAAAGCGGGGGAUCGCAAGACCUCGCGCGAUUGGAGCGGCCGAUAUCAGAUUAGGUAGUUGGUGAGGUAAAGGCUCACCAAGCCGACGAUCUGUAGCUGGUCUGAGAGGACGACCAGCCACACUGGGACUGAGACACGGCCCAGACUCCUACGGGAGGCAGCAGUGGGGAAUUUUGGACAAUGGGCGCAAGCCUGAUCCAGCAAUGCCGCGUGCAGGAUGAAGGCCUUCGGGUUGUUAAACGUGCUUUUGUUACGGAACGAAACGGUAGAGCUCUAAUACAGUUUGCUAAUGACGUACCGUAAGAAUAAG